rnacentral:rRNA from 1 species
GGUGGAGCGAUUUGUCUGGUUAAUUCCGAUAACGAACGAGACUCUAGCCUGCUAAAUAGCCAACUGAUCCGCAGCGUCGGUUGCUUAUAAUGCUUCUUAGAGGGACAGGCGGCUUCCAGUCGCACGAGAUUGGGCAAUAACAGGUCUGUGAUGCCCUUAGAUGUCCGGGGCCGCACGCGCGCUACAAUGAUAAUAGCAAAGUGCAUUAAAACCUUUUCUGGUAAGAAUUGGUAAACACGAAACAUUGUCGUGCUUGGAAUCGGGGAUUGAAAUUAUUGCCCUUAAACGAGGAAUUCCUAGUAAGUGCAGGUCAUCAGCUUGUGCUGAAUACGUCCCUGCCCUUUGUAC